rnacentral:misc_RNA from 1 species
GGGAAACCCACGAAUCCCACAAAGAAAGGAACUCCCUAACCCACGUCUUCUUCCUCUCUCUUUAUUUUCCACAUUUCAUUUCAAAACUCAAUGUUUCUCUUCUUCUUCAUUUCUGGAGGCCACUGCACUUCACGUAAGGCAAAUGACUCAUCAAGAAAACCCUGAUACUCGUAGGGCUCUCAUUGAUUCAAACUCAAACUCCUACUUCUCUAGUAUCACCAUUUCCCAAACCAAGAUUAGAAUCAAGAUUCCAAAACUCUUGGCCAAGACCAUGCAAAAAAGAGGUAACGAUCGUACCAGAGGCAAGAAAAACAAGUGGGAGAAGGUUAGCUCCAUCUU